rnacentral:tRNA from 1 species
GGAGAGAUGGCUCAGUGGGUAAGAGCACUGACUGUUCUUCCAGAGGACCUGGGUUCAAUUCCCAGCACCC